rnacentral:ncRNA from 1 species
GAGUGAGCAAUGAUUGGAAAUAGUAAGAGGAAAAAUAAGCUAUUCAGAGAGCCGGUGGUUGGUGAGAAUCGGUAGUUAUUUGCCUUUGAACUCGUCCAAGAGCUACUCCGUGAAAUAAUAGUAGCGGAUGUCGGGAUUCUGCCGUUAAAAGAAUAGGUGGUGAUAGCCAUCAAAGUGAGUGGGUUCAUGUUAGGCAUGGAUCAAUUAGAGUGGUACCGCGAGCACAGCCUCGUCUCUAUA